rnacentral:rRNA from 1 species
AUGGGACUCAGUGUGGACACCCCUUUCUUCACAUUAGAACUGGAGCAUGGUGGACUAUUCUGUGGACCAAUAAAUAACAUGGAGUACUAUAAUCCUUCAGUGGAGGUGCUUGACUAUGUUGAUGCUGGUACAUUCUCAUAUGCAGUCAUUGAAGAGCACCUGCUAUGGUUGGGAUAUCCUGUCAAUGAUCACAUCAUUUAUUGGUGCAUGCCUGACAAAACAGUUUCAGAUGGUAUGCUCAGAAUCAGAGGUGAUGAGGAUGUGAAGCAAAUGAUAACAGCCAGUGCUCAGCAUAAGGUUCUUGCAAUCAUGGUUGAUCAUUCAGAUUUCAUCAGUAAUUUCAGGCAAGAGUUGAUAUGUACAGUGGGAGCAGUAGAGAAUCCUGUCAGAGUGGUAAACCCAAAUGGUGUUGCAGCCAGUGCAGCUAGUUCUCACAGCAUCAUUUCAGUCAAUGCUGAAGAUCCAAUUUCAGAGUUUGCAGCACAUGAGACAGAAGCAGACAACUUGCUGGCUAAUGUUGUAGAAGAAGAGCAUUUGCUGACUGAUGUUGCACAAGGAGAGCACUUGCUGACUGAUGUUGCACAAGGAGAGCACUUGCUGUUUGAUGUUGAAGUAGAAGAGCAUUUGCUGACUGAUUUUGCUGAAGAAGAUCACUUGCUGACUGAUUUUGCCGAAGAAGGUCACUUGCUGACUGACGUUGCAGAAGAUGUAGUGCUUUCAGAUUCAUAUUUCAGUGACCGUGAUUAUGACAUAAAUGAUGGAGAUGAUGAUCUUUAUGAAGAGAACAUUGACUUUGAUGUUGAUGAAGAAGCUGAGCAAAAGGAGGAAGAGGCGGAACCUGACUAUGUACUUGAUGACGAAGAUUUGAAUCUGUCAAGAGAAGAAGAAGAGCAACUGAUGUACAAGUUCAAAGCUUUCAAUUCCAAGGUGGACAUGAAAAACCCUAAGUAA